rnacentral:rRNA from 1 species
CCCUCCCUCUUUCUUCCUGCCUAACACAUGCAAGUCGAGCGAGGACGUCGGUUCUAGCGGCGGACGGGUGAGUAACGCGUGGGAAUGUGCCCUUCUCUACGGAAUAGCCCUGGGAAACUGGGAGUAAUACCGUAUACGCUCUAUUGGGGAAAGAUCUAUCGGAGAGGGAUCAGCCCGCGUUGGAUUAGGUAGUUGGUGGGGUAAUGGCCUACCAAGCCGACGAUCCAUAGCUGGUUUGAGAGGAUGAUCAGCCACACUGGGACUGAGACACGGCCCAGACUCCUACGGGAGGCAGCAGUGGGGAAUCUUAGACAAUGGGGGCAACCCUGAUCUAGCCAUGCCGCGUGAGUGAUGAAGGCCUUAGGGUUGUAAAGCUCUUUCAGCUGGGAAGAUAAUGACGGUACCAGCAGAAGAAGCCCCGGCUAACUCCGUG